rnacentral:rRNA from 4 species
CUACUGGAAACGGUGGCUAAUACCGCAUAACGUCGCAAGACCAAAGAGGGGGACCUUCGGGCCUCUUGCCAUCAGAUGUGCCCAGAUGGGAUUAGCUUGUUGGUGAGGUAACGGCUCACCAAGGCGACGAUCCCUAGCUGGUCUGAGAGGAUGACCAGCCACACUGGAACUGAGACACGGUCCAGACUCCUACGGGAGGCAGCAGUGGGGAAUAUUGCACAAUGGGCGCAAGCCUGAUGCAGCCAUGCCGCGUGUAUGAAGAAGGCCUUCGGGUUGUAAAGUACUUUCAGCGGGGAGG